rnacentral:rRNA from 1 species
AUUGAACGCUGGCGGCAGGCCUAACACAUGCAAGUCGAGCGGAUGAAGGGAGCUUGCUCCUGGAUUCAGCGGCGGACGGGUGAGUAAUGCCUAUGAAUCUGCCUGGUAGUGGGGGAUAACGUCCGGAAACGGGCGCUAAUACCGCAUACGUCCUGAGGGAGAAAGUGGGGGAUCUUCGGACCUCACGCUAUCAGAUGAGCCUAGGUCGGAUUAGCUAGUUGGUGGGGUAAAGGCCUACCAAGGCGACGAUCCGUAACUGGUCUGAGAGGAUGAUCAGUCACACUGGAACUGAGACACGGUCCAGACUACUACGGGAGGCAGCAGUGGGGAAUAUUGGACAAUGGGCGAAAGCCUGAUACAGCCAUGCCGCGUGUGUGAAGAAGGUCUUCGGAUUGUAAAGCACUUUAAGUUGGGAGGAAGGGAAGUAAGUUAAUACCUUGCUGUUUUGACGUUACCAACAGAAUAAGCACCGGCUAACUUCGUG